AGAGUUUGAUCCUGGCUCAGAACGAACGCUGGCGGCGUGCCUAACACAUGCAAGUCGUACGAGAAAGUUCGCUUCGGCGGAUGAGUAAAGUGGCGCACGGGUGAGUAACGCGUGGAUAAUCUGCCCUUUAGUUUAGGAUAACUCACCGAAAGGUGAACUAAUACUGAAUAAUACUGUUUCUGCUAAGGUGGAUUAGCUAAAGAGGACCUCUGUUUACAAGUUCUUGCUAAAGGAUGAGUCCGCGUACCAUUAGCUAGUUGGUAGGGUAAUGGCCUACCAAGGCGACGAUGGUUAGCUGGUCCGAGAGGAUGAUCAGCCACACUGGAAUUGAGAUACGGUCCAGACUCCUACGGGAGGCAGCAGUGAGGGAUUUUGCGCAAUGGGGGAAACCCUGACGCAGCAACGCCGCGUGAGUGAGGAAGGCCUUCGGGUCGUAAAGCUCUGUCAGAUGGGGAGAAAUGCGGGGGUGUUAAUAGCUUUCCCGCUUGACGGUACCAUCAAAGGAAGCACCGGCUAACUCCGUGCCAGCAGCCGCGGUAAUACGGGGGGUGCAAGCGUUGUUCGGAAUUAUUGGGCGUAAAGAGCGUGUAGGCGGCUGAAUAAGUCAGAUGUGAAAGCCCUGGGCUUAACUCAGGAAGUGCAUUUGAAACUGUCCGGCUAGAGUAAGGGAGAGGAAAGUGGAAUUCCUGGUGUAGAGGUGAAAUUCGUAGAUAUCAGGAG
rnacentral:rRNA from 1 species